rnacentral:lncRNA from 1 species
AUGGGGAACCCCACACAGCAAGGAAGCCAGGCAGUGUCUUAGGAAUUGAGGAGAGCCUUUAGCUAGCAGCCUGCAAGGGCUUCCAGCAGCAAGCACAAAAAUGAGGCUCUUAGUCCUACAGCCACAAGGAACUUAACUCUGUCAACGACUACGUGAGCUUGGAAGUAAAUCCUUACCCACUUGAGGCUCAGAUAAGACCACAGCCUUGGCCAACACCUUGAUGCAGGUUUUAUGAGACCCUGAAUUGAUACCAACCCUGCUAUCAGUUUCCCCACAUUAAACCCAGCAUAUAUAGGGUUAAAACCAAAACACGCAUUCCCUGCUUACUCUCUGGCUUCCUGGCUCCAAAAUCCACUAUCCUCCAUGGAGACAGACACCGUCAAGGACAAGCACCUGGACUAUCUCCUCCCGCAAAGAGAUAGAGGCUGGUGGGAAAGCUGCUGAUCAGCAAGGUCAUGGGCUGCCUCCUCUCUGCAAGUGUCUCAAGGCCAAAGACAGGCUGGUGGGAAAGCUCUGACCAGCAAGGCCAUAUGCUCCCCCUCCCCUACCUAAAACCCCAAAUAAAAACCCUUCCUUUUAGCUUUUUGGGGAUUUUGGGAUUUCAGCGUUAGCUGCCCUCUCUCCUUGCUCAGUGCUGUGCAAAAAUAAAAUUCCUACUUUCUUCCACCACCCCCGGUGUCAGAGAUUGGCUUGCUGCACAAUGGGUGAGUGAACUCACUUCAGGUUCGGUAACAGAAGUACAGCUCCUAGCUGAACUGUGCUCAGACUCCUGACCCACAGAAACUGUGAGAUAACAAAC